GGGGUUAAUGAGAUUUGCUGCUGCAGAAAGAAGGCGGGGGUGGUUUAGUAACUAUGCUAGUUAGUGCGAUUGCGAUUGCACAAUUCUCAACGAUUACGCAUGCGAAUUGCCAUCGCUAUCGUCAUUGCGGGAGGUGUGAGUUUGGGUAAUUGAGCGAUUGGAGUGAGUUGAUGAGCGCGACGCAGUGGAGGUUUCUUUUUUAGGUUUCGGCAUUUUUUGAAGCAGGCGCUGGGAUGGUUUUUGGUUCUCGUUCCGUGGUGGCCGAUUCGGGGGUGGCGUGCACCGGGCGGGGUACUUCUUCUCAUACGUCGAUCACGAUGGCGUUGUGACUAAUGUUGCAACAGUAGUGGUUGGCUGCUUGCAAUGGUACCUGGUAGAACGGAAUUGAGGAAUUGGUGUCGCGAGGCGUGGCUUGGCGUGUGUAAGUUGGUGGGAAUGAGGAGCGAUGGGAUUGUGGUGUACUUGGCCCGUAGAUAGAUGAGGUGCGAGCUGUUCUUUGCGGGAUCGGAACGUGUUGGUUUUGUCGCGGUGCUGUCUCGGUUGGCGCAGACUUUCCGCGAAGCUUUUGGAAUUUGCAUGAUGGAGAGGAGGCUGUAGCUCCAAGUUCUCGUGCGCUGACUAAUCUCGUCCGCCGCACGUGUGACCGUAUUCCCUUCGAAUUGCUCAGCCGAUUGUGAUAUUCUUGGCGUUUCUGCACGGGCAAUGUGGUGGUUGUCUAGAUUCUAGAAGCGAUCAGAUACGAUCAUCCUGAAGUCCUGCACCUUACAGAGCUGUUCACGCUUUGAUCAGGACAGAGAAAGCUGUUGCGUUCUGUUCAGAAUGUUCGCUUUGCAUGCUUUUCAGGAGGCUCUCCCGUUUCAUUCGAGUCCACUGGAAUAUAUCUACCGAGUCUUUUGAGGUGCAUCUGAAGUACAAGAUCAUCGUAGCCGUGAAGAGUUUAUUUAAAAGCUCGGACACCCAAAGCAUUCGAGCCCUUUGAAUAAGGGCAGAUACUUACAGGUCCCUUUCUUGUUGCGAUAAACCCCAUUGACGCAUGAAUUACUGUCAAACUCCAUUGAAUCAUCUUUUGGGAAGAGAUGCCAGCGGAGAAGAAGGUUAGUAUUCAUGUGUUGAGAGGAGCUGCAAAGAGAAGUUCAAGUGCUUUGGCGACAACGGCGUCUACCUGUCAAAUUCCUGGUGGAACAAGUCUACUAGUAGGAUGCGUGUUGGGCAAGAAUUUAACAGUUACUCACCAACAAGCACAAAGUUGUUUGGAGCAGAGACCCAGUGAUGAAAGAGAGGAUACCGAGCUUCUACUUGGUUUAGAGGUUUUAAAUGGAAAGGGAAGGACUGGGGUUUCGACUGUUCCACGCUCGAUGUCUAUCAACUCUCCUUCCAGCACCAACCCAAAUCUGUUACCUAUCUCAGGGAAAUUCUCUGCUGCGAAUACUACCUUUUUGUUUGAUAAAGUGGUAAGUGCUACCGACUGUAGGAGCACUGGUCAUUUUGUUCUUCCGAAACGAAAAGUGGAGGAACAUUUUCCCCCACUUUCCAAGCCCGGGGGCGUCUGGAUGACACUUAUAGAUGAUGCAGGAAAGGAAUGGUCAUUUGAAUUCUGCUUCUGGUAUAGUAAAGAGAGUCGGAUCUAUUACUUGAAGAGGUUUUAUCCAUAUGUUCAAGCAACAAAUCUACGGGGUGGUGACACAGUCUACUUCAGCAGGUUGGAACCUGAGGGAACGUUACUCAUGGGCGUCCGCAAACAAAAACUGGCCUCUCCAAAGCAUGGCAGAGCUAUCAAGCCUAAGAACGAGCUUGAGGCGAAAGUGCUAUCAAGCAGAGAUCUUAAAGUUUCUUCUGAGGAGGGGAAAUCUUUGCUGGACGACGGUGCUCUACUUGAAGACCAUCCUGCAACACCUUCUACAGAUGAUGCAAGCGUUGACUAUGAUUUAUGCAAAUCCACCGAUAAGAAAAAAAUGAUGAGGCUGACCUCACCCCCUCCGAUUAGUUUCGAUACUCAAUCAGUAGACCAUAUUGCGACCGGCGAAGCUGUAGCAACAAGAAAGCGACGAUCCAUCACUCCGGAGUCCUCCGAGCAAAUUAACAUGAAACCUGGUUCACAGAGCUCAAGAGGAAAGAGGCUGGGAUUAACCAUGGAGGACUAUUAUGAAUGGGAGGAUAUUCAGGAUCUUUUUCGGGCACCUCCUGGCGCUAUUGCAACAUACACUUGUGUUGAAGGCCAUGAGAUUGAAGAGUACAAGGAGCCUCCAGUUCUUAUCAAGAAAACGUUUUACAGUGCUGAGAUUCAAGAGGACGACCAAUGGGUGCAAUGUGAUGAUUGUGGAUGCUGGCGUAGACUCCCGGCUGAUGCAUUCGUGCAUGCAAGAUGGGUUUGUUCAGAUAAUGAGUGGGACUCGAGGAGGGCCCGUUGCAAUGCACCACAAGAAUUAAGUGAUCAUGAGAUGGAUAGACUACUCGAAGGCUUGUCAGAGGCAGACUUUGCAGGCAGUGAGACUGUUAGUAAACUGGAGUCGUAUGACAGUGAUUCUGGGAUUCCCCCUUUUAUUCCAUCUGAGGAAGAGGAUAGCUACUGCAAACAGCCUCAGACAUGGAAUGAAGCUUACGGGCAAAUGCAGAAAAAGGCAUCACAAUUAGUAUUGAAUAAGAAAUGCAAGUCUGUAACUUCAGGAAAGGAGUUGUCAAAUGGGGGGGAAGAUCUGCUGCGGUCAACCGACUUAAUUAAUCUUUCCAGCAGAUCCCCCGCAUCAAUGUUUGGAUAUGAAACACCACAUCCAUCCACUAAAGCAGGAAAAGGUCAUCAGAUGUGUACAGGCUGUAGUAAGCCCAUAGGUUCCGCUGCCCAGGGCUGCAAGCGAUGUGGAACAUUAACAGAGUACGGAAUACGGAGCAGAGCCCAAUUUAGCGCUGGAUACAGGCAAUAGAAUCAGGGCUUCGUAUGUCAAUCUUGCACCAAUUGGAGUGUUUGAUCACAUCCUUUAGGAAGAAUUUUGAUCGGGGAGUGCUGUAUCUCCGAUGUGAGCUUCUUCCUCAUUGUUAAGAUACUUCUAAAGUGCCUACUAUCGACGACUAAGCAAUGCAGCUCUUUAUUUGGGUAUCGUCGCACUUGGCACACACGUGGCUCACUCCACACAUCCUGAGCGUACGUAGGUGGGACAUUGCCACAUGAGCAGUCUUAGAACAUGAGCAUAAUAACGGGGAGAAAGUCAACAGAGAAUAUGCUUUAAUCGCCAAUGUUUGCAGGUGUGAUGCUGUGCUCUAAUCGUGAACUAGGACCUCAAGAUUAGUGAAGUAAGAAGGAUCUGCGAUGUAAUGCAAAUGCAGAGAAGUAUUUUCAAAGCACAACACACUGUUGAAGCACUGUCGGUGACAUGGUAUAUUUAUUGGUCAGUCUCAUCAUUUGGGCAUCGUACGGGUUUAUAGAAUCAAGCACCUAACAUCCGUUAGAGAUGUCUCCCUGUCCACUUUAGUUACAUGUAAAUCAAAGGUACAGAUGCAACUGAGUAUUUUGCUGUAGAAUCACAAUACUCAAGUUGCUUCGUAAUCGGGAUGCUAGUCCCAGGUCCUGUGGGCAUUUAUACAGAGACAGCUGACACUAUCCUUAAAGGAUCAACUCAAACCUGAGUGCGUAGAACCAGCGAAGAAGCUCAUCUGAUUCCAACAUGAAUUCAGACUUCUGCCUCCCCUAUAUUUAGCAAUAUCUUAGCUAUCUCAAGACGACUAUUGUUCCAUGCCAGCUUUUUCGUAAUCUCGUUCUCCAUUGACCUUUUAUAUGCAGUUCAACAAGGCCAGGAAUGUUUCCUGGAAUUCUACCAGUGGGGAUUUAAGAUUCAUCUAUAUAUUAAGAUUGCUCAA